CCUACGGGUGGCAGCAGUGGGGAAUAUUGCACAAUGGGGGAAACCCUGAUGCAGCAACGCCGCGUGAAGGAAGACGGCUUUCGGAUUGUAAACUUCUGUUCUUAGUGAAGAAUAAUGACGGUAGCUAAGGAGCAAGCCACGGCUAACUACGUGCCCGCCGCCGCGGUAAUACGGAGGUGGCAAGCGUUGUCCGGAAUUACUGGGUGUAACGGGAGCGCAGGCGGGAAGCCAAGUCAGCUGGGAAAAAUACGGGGUUAACUCGUAGACUGCAGUUGAAACUGGUUUUCUUGAGUGCAGUAGAGGUAGGCGGAAUUCCGGGGGGAGCGGUGAAAUGCGUAGAUAUUCGGAGGAAAACCGGUGGCGAAGGCGGCCAACUGGGCUUUAACUGACGCUGAGGCUCGAAAGGGUGGGGAGCGAACAGGAUUAGAUACCCGGGUAGUC
rnacentral:rRNA from 1 species